AUGAAAAGACGACAACACAGCAUACAUCUAGGGACACCUGCUGAGAGAAUAAAACACAAUAAACAUGAGAAUGCUAUGGGAAACUUCCUGCUGAGACUUCACUUAGACCAACUGAUAUCUUCUCCCUGCCUGGAGAAAACCUUUGUCCUCCAGACUGAAGACAGGCACUUAAAAGUAAACCUGUUUGGUCUGCCCCUAUUAACCAGCAGUGCUGACAGAGAAAAUUGCUUUUCCCCUGUGUUCAGCACUUGAGAACCAUAGGAUUGAGACUGUUUUUUCAGACUGCUUUAUUUUUCGGCAUCAUCCAAUGGGACAGGCUGAGUCACUACUUGAUUCUCAUUUCUCUUCAUGUGAAGGUUUCAGCUCCCUUGGAUUGCCAUGAAUCCCAAGCAAUGAUCCUGGUUUUGUCCUGACAGCACUCCCCAUGUUUCCAUUGGACUUCAUGGACUGACAGUCAGAGAGACUUUUCCCCUGGCUCUGAGCUCCUCUCUCUGCUCGGGAUGAUGGGGGAAGGCUGCCCACAUGGCACCACCUGGGAGAUUUUAUAUUACUUUUUGUGCUGCUCUUCUCUCAACAGGGCAAGCCCUUGGGGCAGAUAAGGAUGUAUUAAGUGACUGAAAGACAUGCAAUUGUCUCCCAAAAGGUGUCACUUCAGUAUUGCUGCAGAUGAGAGGAAACUUUCUAUUUCUGUCCUUAGUCUGAAAUAAUUUUCAUUGGGAUUGCUGAAGGUCCUUCUUUGCUGAAUGGGACCUCUGUGUAAUGCUAAAAUAAAUAUUCUGUUUAAUGUUCUGUUUCCCA
rnacentral:lncRNA from 1 species